GUGCUCGCUUUGGCAGUGCAUAUACUAAAGUUGGAACUAGACAAGAAAGAUUAGCAUGGACCUGCACAAGGAUGGUGUGCAAACUCGUAUAUUAUGUAUUUUU
ensembl:snRNA U6 U6 spliceosomal RNA